AACGAACGCUGGCGGCGCGCCUAAUACAUGCAAGUCGAGCGAGAAGACGUAGCAAUACGUUUGUAAAGCGGCGAACGGGUGAGGAAUACAUGGGUAACCUACCCUCGAGUGGGGAAUAACUAGCCGAAAGGUUAGCUAAUACCGCGUACGCUCCUUGGACUUCGGUUCAGGGAGGAAAGCGAUACCGUGGGUAUCGCGCUCUUGGAUGGGCUCAUGUCCUAUCAGCUUGUUGGUGAGGUAACGGCUCACCAAGGCUUCGACGGGUAGCUGGUCUGAGAGGACGAUCAGCCACACUGGCACUGCGACACGGGCCAGACUCCUACGGGA
rnacentral:rRNA from 1 species